CGGGGCGUAGCUCAGCCUGGUAGAGCGCUCGCUUUGGGAGCGAGAAGUCGCUGGUUCGAAUCCAGUCGCCCCGACCA
rnacentral:tRNA from 1 species